AUUUCCCUUCCGGUCCCUGCGCGCCCUGUACGUGGAUGCCGGGGAUAUUUAAAGUCAGUGAGGUCGGCACCUGGCAGAUGCCGCGCCAUCCUGGUCCCUGCAGAUGCUGCUCAUCUAUCGAGCUAACUGCAGGUAAUCUGGUAUCUCCAUGGCUCCCAACACCUCUUAAAGGACGCCAUCUGUCUCAUCAUGCCCUUCAAGAUUUCUACCACCCUCAACCCUUGCGAUAUCUGCCUUCAUUUCUUGGUACCACAAUAAUGCUUUCCUGUACUCCUACAUAUCAGCCAUUAUUAAUGGAUACUACUCAAGGAGUAGCAACCUGAAGAUAUCCUGUGGGCAAAUCCACAACCCAAAGUGGGAGUUAAGGACAUAACAUGCAUAAUCCCUAUGUAACUACUGCACCUGCCCAGGCCUUGCAUGUUUAUACCAGGUGUUAUUUUGGUGUCUAGUAUGUGUAAUCCAGAAUUUGUGUAUCUUGAACUGUAUAGACUCUUGAUAUGUAUGAUAUUUGUAUGUAUUGUGCUCCGCCACAGUAUGGUUCCUGAUUCAUUGCUUCUCUUUUUUUCCCCUAUGCCUGGUCCUUGCUGUGUUUUGUCUUAUGUGAUUCAGUACUAGUGUAUCCUGAUCUGUAAAGUGCCCUGACUUCAGUCAACCUGUUGACUGAUCCUUCAUUCCUGGUGAACGUGCCGCUAUAUCUUUUGAUAACCUGAUUUGCCUUUUCUCUCAUUCAUGCUGUAUAUUGCUUUGGUCCUGAAGCUGUUAGUCAGUACACUAUAUACCUGCCCCUAUAUACCUGCCAUGAUUUUUGUUUGUUACUACUUUGCAUGCCUGCCAUUAUAUAUUUUCCUGGUUCCUUGUCUGUUAUAGUUUAACUCUUUAUAUCUUGAUCUGUUUCCCCUACCAGUCUACAGUUCUGUUUAUUGUUUUAACUUGAUGCCCCUGCACUUUAGUUCAGCAGAAGAACUGGCACCUAGUUGUGAAACCACUGCUUAGGGCAGAUAUUCAAGUAGGCAGAGAAAGGGAUUCUGUGUGAGCUCAGGGCCGUACUAUACCCUGCCCUAUGUGACACCCUUAUACUCCGCUCCCUUCAGAAUUACAACAAAUCGGUUAGUGACCUAGUGGGGUUUAUGAAUCAAAGCCAGCCUUUGCUAUAAUAAAAUUAUUACUUUUUGCUGUAGUUAUUAUUACUUUUAGUGUAAAGAAAAGCUAUGGAUACCUGUGACUGUAUUCGAAUUAGGAUAACUUGCCAAUGUUUUGAGUUUUUCUGGAAUUCUUUGUGCUUAGUUUGGCAAUUGUGAAACUGGUCACUAUUUUCACGUGUAUGGUUAAGCAAUCACUAGAGCACAUGCUGCUAUGUUAACAACUGUAAACCACCUACAAUUACUAGCAUGAUCCCUAACCUCUGAGAGGUGGUAAUCCUGUAUUGGUUGUAAGCUGUCAAAUUUAUUUCCCUUUGGUGAAAUAUCCCCUGGAUUUAAUUACAAGUCAUUCUCAAUACUUUAUGGAGUUGAGCCCAAGUGCUGUGGCUUUGACAUUUAACCCUCUGACCCUUAAAUAUUUACCAGCUUUCAAACUAGUUGUGCACAAUUAUCCCUUCAAGUGCAGCAGAGAUCCAUCAUUCUUGCCAAGUAUUACCAUGCUAUUCUUUUCAAGGUAUGUCAUACCCUUUCAUUAUCGGGAUAGUAUAUACACCCAAAGUCUAGGAGUCUAGAAACUAAAUAUAGAAUACAUGUAUACUCCAGAAAUAAAUCCUGCAAGGAUCCCUCCAACCCUGUUAUAAUAUGUCCUCAUGAAAUAUUCUCCAGCCUGCACUUCUUCCAAACUACUAGAAGCAAAUAUACACAUGGAUUCAGAUUAGAUAAACCCAGAAUAGGUGUUACGUUAAAGAAAAUCCGUUAGCAAAAUUAGGGUCCUAAGACAAUGCACAUACACACAUAGAUAUACAGUACAUUCAUUCUAUCAACAGUGCAUGCACUUCUAUUUAGAGUUUAGUUUAUUGGUCUGCUAAAUGCAAAGCAAUAUAUAUUAGCUGCUUUAAGGGAAUACUCAACAUACAGGAACUGUACCUCAUUUUGGCCAGGAUAAAGUUUAGACAGGUUUUAUUUCUUUUACUAGGGCAGGAUGGAAGUGGAGCCAUGAUAAACAACACAAAAAGUCCCGAACUGGAGUAUAGUUUAAGCUGGGCUGGAUUAAAAUCUGUGGCCGUCACGAAGAAAAAUAUUGUGUGGAUACUCCUACUACUAUAUGUCAGAAUAAGAGAAACAGAGCCUAUAUGAGGAAAGUGUAUUUAAUAACAGUGCUAUGCAGUGUCCACAAUGCUAUAUAAUGCCCAAAUAACACUGCCAGUGUAAACUUCCAUAAAGGUUUACAUCCUAGUUACUAUUAUAAGAUCUUUUCACACUUGUAAGAUUUAUCAUGAUACACAGCAAAGCUGACAACAAUUACCAUCUCAUGCAUGUAAAUUGUGUUUCCACAAUAAUCUUCACAUGCAAUGAAAGAUUUCAGGCCAGAGAUUUGCCAUCGUGAAAAAGAAAACAAACUGCUGCAGAAAUAAGAAGCAUGUUGCAUGGAAAGACCAGGAUUAGUCCCAUUGAAUAAUAAUGUGGCUAAGAUUUGGAUGGAUCAACAUCCUUUCAAAUUGCACAUCUGCAGUAGAAAUCUCCAGAUAAUGCAAUAGAAAUACACAUCAUGCGACACAUGAAUGUAGUAAGAAAAUCAAUGUCCAUUUGGAUCCACUGAGACUCUACAUGACCAAGCCGUGCACUGGUGGGUAACGUGCCUGGACACUAGCAUGUAAAUAUAAGAGAAAUUAGUUUUCAGGUUGCACAAAGCUGUUCUCACCAUUUAAAUGCAUUUACAGAUGCUGGAAACAAUAUUAAUGUGAACAAAACUAUUACUGGACACAAUACGCGAUUACAAAUAGUAAUAUCUCUAAUUCAAGCGUCUCGCACAGGUCAUGAUUAUUUCAGACUGUACUUGAACUUGCAUAAUGAAGUGUAAUAGCUAUUGGACAG